rnacentral:lncRNA from 1 species
CUUGUUAUCCCUCCUCCUCUCUUCUCUUUCAAUCUCCCCAUCUAUUCACUCUCAAACUCUAGCCCGUCUUCACCUGAACCCCUUCGAUCUACGGGGUUUCUCUUCUAUUCUGGGCCUAUCUAGCCUCUUAUCUCUACUAGUUAUAUGAUUUCUACGAUGUUUGAUGUGAAUCUCAAGAGAUUGGAACCAAAUCUCGCUCAAAGUCUCUCUUGUCUCGAUUAUUCUGUCUAUGUUCACUCUGAUACUUCUGAGUAUGAGUAUCUUCGUAUUUUUGGGUUUUAAAUCUUUGGUUCAAACCAAAUUUGAUUUGAUUCUGUAUUUUUAUGAACAUAGCUAUUUUCUGGGAUGAAUCCAUCCAGAUCUCUUUAGAUCUAAAAUGAUUUGUGCUUGUUUGGUAGUUCUCCUUUAAGAUUUUCUAUUCUUGCUAUUGUUAUUGACCCAUUUCGUUUACUCUCAAAGCUAGGGUUUUGAUUUUUGAGAAAUUUCUGCAAAAAGGUUUUAGUGUUUAAAUGUUCUCAUCUCUGAAUUUCUUAUUUACUCUUUGACUGAUUUCUACUCGAUUUAAUCUAGCUCCAUGUAUAUGUCUUUGUAUUUUUAGGGUUUUGAUUAUUUGAUUGCCUAUCGUACUGUCUUGUGCCUGUUUACCUUUAGUCUUGUCAAUUAAGUGUUAAUUGAUUUUAUUACCCAAAUUAGGUCUUGAAUUUAGUAUCUGCAUCUUUUUAUAAAGAAUUUUCCUGUUUACCUUAUUUAUGUGAUUAAUUAUCCUUGCUACUGGCCCGAUAUUGUGUUUUGUCUUUUAAUUGAAUUCUGGACCUACUACUUACCUUACUUAGACCUCAAUCUCGACUGCUGAUUUUAUUCUAUGUUAUUUUAAAUUAUACCUCCAUGAUUCUGCCUAUUAAUUGAUUCAUGUUAAGCCCUAAUUGACUGAUUGAUUGAUCGUUUUGCCUUAUUGGUGUACCAUUGAUUCUCCUACCUUAUUUUGUUUUACUCUACUAUACGCUAUAAAAUCCUUCAUUGUUCUGAUUUUCAAAGACACAUUCUCAGACUCAGACAUCUAUACUUACAAACACACAAUAAUACACACCUAUUCAAUUUCAAUUUCUUUGAUACGUUGCACAGUCUACCUGGCUGAAAGCCAAGGCUAGACUCUUGGAUUUCAUUCGUCUUCACCUUCCUGUUUGCUAUCUCUUUAACUGGUAUGCCUCCAUUUCUGUUAUCAUGUUCUCUUCUAUAUGCUAUAUAGUUAGACUUCAAUAUGAUUUUGUUUGCCCUAUUGUUUCCUAUUUACUGUUCUCCUAACUAGUAUGUCUCAACUCAUAUUACCAUGUUCUAUUUUAUAUGACAUGUAGUCAGUCUAUUAUAGACCUCAACAUGUUCCUGUAUGAUACAUGAUUCCCCAUCAUUUUGUUCUCACCUGUGAUGCCUCAGUUAUUGUUUUUCAUGUGAUUGUAUGAUUAGUGUACUUCCAACUGCGAUAUGUUUCUGUUUUCCAUAUAUUUCCUGCUUGCUUUCCCUAACUAGUAUGUCUGAAAUCAUGUUAAUUUGCUUUCUUCUAUGUGGUUAUCUGAUGGGCUUACCUUAGCAUGUUUGGCCCUUGAUCUUUGUUUACUUUUUUCAAGACUAGAGAACUUCAGUUCCUGCUAUACUGUGCUAUAUGUUUAUUUGGUUAGUUAUUUCAAACUCCAGCAUGUUUAUGUUCAAUAUAUGUCUAUAUGAGUCCGCCUAGUGAUAGCUAAUAAACUAAACCCUAUCUAAAUAAGUUGUAUGUUCCUUGUUCUGAACAUGGCUGGAUACUGCAAGCAUGUAAUGUGGCUAACUCCAUCUUUCAAUUCAAAUGUCUUUGAUUUUGUGAUCACUAAUAUAAGUAUCAAGUCUAGACAAACAUCAAUCUUCCUGAAUCACGUGUUAAGUAUGGAUUAUGUGUGUAACCCCUGUAUCCUAAAUCUAUUUGCUUCUUAAAUUAAAUUAUUUUCUAAAAUUGUCCCCUUACCUUCUAUGCACUGGUUUUCAAAUUUCUACUCUUACACUUUUAGGUUUCGAUCACCCCCAGUAUGAGCACUACCUAUGGUCCCUGAGACUCCUAUGAACUCUAACACAUUGGUGCUGGUUUUCCAAUCAUUUAUGAAUUCUGUGUUGAAUACAUGGCUCUAGUGUGAGUAUUGCCAGGGGUCCCUGAGGCCUUUUGGAAACUUUGACACACUUGAAGUUUGGAUCCCUUCUACUGAUUCAAGACUAUAGUGUUGAAGGCCUGGCUCUCAUGUUUAUAUCGGGCCUGCUAAGGCUACCAAUAGUAUGAUGAUUCUUAUUGUGUAAUUUAUUCAUAUUGGUCUGUAAUAAU